rnacentral:tRNA from 1 species
GUUCUUUUAGUAUUAAUUAGUACAGUUGACUUCCAAUCAGCCAGUUUCGGCAUUAUCCGAAAAAGAACA